GAUGAACGCUGGCGGCGUGCCUAACACAUGCAAGUCGAGCGAACCUUUCGGGGUGAGCGGCGGACGGGUGAGUAACGCGUGGGUAACCUGCCCUAUACACACGGAUAACGUACCGAAAGGUACGCUAAUACGGGAUAAAGUUGUUGGAUGGCAUCUUCUAACAAUCAAAGCUCCGGCGGUAUAGGAUGGACCCGCGUCUGAUUAGCUAGUUGGCGAGGUAAUGGCUCACCAAGGCGACGAUCAGUAGCCGACCUGAGAAGGUGAUCGGCCACACUGGAACUGAGACACGGUCCAGACUCCUACGGGAGGCAGCAGUGGGGAAUAUUGCACAAUGGGCGAAAGCCUGAUGCAGCAACGCCGCGUGAGCGAUGAAGGUCUUCGGAUCGUAAAGCUCUGUCCUCAAGGAAGAUAAUGACGGUACUUGAGGAGGAAGCCCCGGCUAACUGCGUGCCAGCCGCCGCCGUAA
rnacentral:rRNA from 1 species